GAGGGUGUAGCUCAGUGGUAGAGCGUGUGCUUAGCAUGCAUGAGGUUCUGGGUUCAAUCCCCAGCACCUCCA
rnacentral:tRNA from 1 species